UACGUAGGGGGCAAGCGUUGUCCGGAAUCAUUGGGCGUAAAGCGCGUGUAGGCGGCCUUGUAAGUCCGUUCUGAAAGCCUGGGGCUCAACCCCAGGAGGCGGAUGGAUACUGCAAGGCUCGAGUACGGAAGAGGCGAGUGGAAUUCCCGGUGUAGCGGUGAAAUGCGCAGAUAUCAGGAGGAACACCGGUGGCGAAGGCGGCGUUCUGGACUGCUACUGACACUGAGGAACGAAAGCCAGGGGAGCAAACGGG
rnacentral:rRNA from 1 species